GCCGAAGUGGCGGAACCGGCAGACGCGCGGGAUUCAAAAUCCCGUCCCCUUCACCGGGGGUGAGGGUUCGACUCCCUCCUUCGGCA
rnacentral:tRNA from 1 species